GCGAGGAUGCAGAUCCUCUAACAAAUCUGAUGGUCGAUGGACGCCACAACCCUCAUCCAAUAGCCAAGGGUCGUUCCAACAGCCAGCCUCCCCGGACUUUGGUUUCCACAGCCUUAAUGAGGUCCCACUAACCCUGUCAUCUGCUGCAACAGACAACCAGGAGCCUUACAGCACUGUCCAAUGCCUCUCUGUCUACAGCCGCACCAGGGGGCUUUCCUGGAGUGAAGACACCAGAUCUUCCACCCCUGAGGUCCCAGAUGAAGAAGAACAGACUGUUGCACCUUGGGAACAUCGCUCAUUUCCCCUCUCAGACCGAGACCAUCGCGUUCUUCAGAGUUCGCCAGUAACUGCACCGAACAGAAACAGGAAUAAGCCUGAUGUGCUGUGUA